UGCUAGAAACACAGCUACUGAUCCAUCUGAUUCUACUGCCCAAGUUAUAUUGGGUUAUUCAACUUUCGGUGCAGUUUGCAUCCAGAGAGAAGAAAGAUCAAAUGCUCAACACCAACCUACACUCAAAUGAUGAACUAGAGCUUGCAAGGAGGACUGUACUUACCUGACGAUCAAAAUCAACACUCUGAAUUGAGUAAACUUCAUUUGUAAUUUGAACAUCCUUAUUUAUGAGGCCAUUGAACCAUCUAAUUGGCUGAUUGAUAUGCUCAUGUGAUUCCUUAAAAACCACACAUAAAGAGUAAGAUAGCUUGCUAAAGUUAAAGAAUAUAAGUUGAGAAGUCUUCUGUCAACAAAAAUAAUAUUUGGGCUGAAGAAAAGGCUCCCAGUGAAUCCUAAUAAUUUGUUUCAUUUGAAUGUAAAUGUGCAAUCAAAGAUUGAUGUUCAUAAACAAAAGAAAUUUUAUAAUACCUCUUCUUCCUCCUCA